rnacentral:rRNA from 1 species
AUGAAGGUUUCUUCUGCCGCCUUCUCGUGUCGUUCUUCGCCCAGCCUCCGCUUGAUCUGGGACUCGGAUAGAGGCCAGCCGGAUGGAUAUUGCGAUCUGUACACUGCUGACCCGGACAGCCAAGGUUUCACAGUGUAUGAAGAAGAAGACUGCGGUUAUCUCCUGCAGCGUCUGGCAGUUGAAGGUUGCAUCGGCAAAGACGGCAAGCUGCUGGAGCCGCUGGCGCCUCUUCCGGUUGCUGUGGCUGAAAAGAUCUUCGAUGCUGUGAGGUUGCCCAAACGCGACUUUGAUUUUCAUCAGACACUUUUGACUGCCUUUGAGAUGUCUCAAAUCACCGAGUAUGAUUUGUUUCAACGGUAUGACAUACUGGAAUCUGCUGGAGAAUUAUUUCUAGUUCUUAAGGAACAGCAUCGCUUGAAGGUCUUCAGGAUCAACACUGACAGAAUUGUGCUUGAGCCUGUUGAGAGCAUCGGCAGCCGUGCAUUCUUUCUCGGUCGACGGGGCAGGUACAUGUCUGUGGAUGCAGACAAGUUCCCAUCUGUUGAUGCCAAUUGCAUAUACUAUGUGAACUCGACAUUUUCAACAUGUGACAUCUACAAGUAUAUAUGA